UGGUUGAGUGGUUAUAGCACUUGGCUUCCAAACAGGGGUACCGGGUUCAAAUCCUGG
rnacentral:tRNA from 1 species